GAUGAACGCUGGCGGCGUGCCUAAUACAUGCAAGUCGAGCGAACAGACGAGGAGCUUGCUCCUCUGACGUUAGCGGCGGACGGGUGAGUAACACGUGGAUAACCUACCUGUAAGACUGGGAUAACUUCGGGAAACCGGAGCUAAUACCGGAUAAUAUAUUGAACCGCAUGGUUCAAUAGUGAAAGACGGUUUUGCUGUCACUUAUAGAUGGAUCCGCGCCGCAUUAGCUAGUUGGUAUGGUAACGGCUUACCAAGGCAACGAUGCGUAGCCGACCUGAGAGGGUGAUCGGCCACACUGGAACUGAGACACGGUCCAGACUCCUACGGGAGGCAGCAGUAGGGAAUCUUCCGCAAUGGGCGAAAGCCUGACGGAGCAACGCCGCGUGAGUGAUGAAGGUCUUCGGAUCGUAAAACUCUGUUAUUAGGGAAGAACAAAUGUGUAAGUAACUAUGCACGUCUUGACGGUACCUAAUCAGAAAGCCACGGCUAACUACGUG
rnacentral:rRNA from 1 species